rnacentral:rRNA from 1 species
CCUACGGGUCGCACCAGUGGGGAAUAUUGGACAAUGGGCGAAAGCCUGAUCCAGCAAUGCCGCGUGUGCGAAGAAGGUCUUCGGAUUGUAAAGCACUUUCGACGGGGACGAUGAUGACGGUACCCGUAGAAGAAGCCCCGGCUAACUUCGUGCCAGCAGCCGCGGUAAUACGAAGGGGGCUAGCGUUGCUCGGAAUGACUGGGCGUAAAGGGCGCGUAGGCGGUUUAUGCAGUCAGAUGUGAAAUCCCCGGGCUUAACCUGGGAACUGCAUUUGAGACGCAUAGACUAGAGGUCGAGAGAGGGUCGUGGAAUUCCCAGUGUAGAGGUGAAAUUCGUAGAUAUUGGGAAGAACACCGGUUGCGAAGGCGGCAACCUGGCUCGAUACUGACGCUCAGGUGCGAAAGCGUGGGGAGCAAACAGGAUUAGAUACCCUGGUAGUC